CAAAACAUAGCUUAUCUAAAGCCUCUUGCUUACACCAAGAAGAUGUCUUCUCAUCAAGACUGUUUUGAAA
rnacentral:tRNA from 1 species